CAAGCUUGCAAAGAACAUGUAUUCCAUGGUAACUGGGUGAAGCAUCCUAUAUGUGUCUAUUAGAAACAUCCAGAAUAUUAUUUGACUGAAUAUCCGGACACCAUGGCCAGGCGAAGUGGACACAUAAGAUGAAUUGUCACAGGUUGGAGGGUGAGGGUGACAGAAGCUGGGAAAUGAAAGAUGGGAUUGUUUUCUUGUCAUCCUGUAUCCCUGCCACCUGGCGAUGGUGUUUCUGGAGAGUUACCUGGAACUCGAUGGAUCUGUCCAGAGGAGAAGACUGAGUUGGGG